rnacentral:rRNA from 1 species
CCUACGGGAGGCAGCAGUGGGGAAUUUUGGACAAUGGGGGCAACCCUGAUCCAGCAAUGCCGCGUGAGUGAAGAAGGCCUUCGGGUUGUAAAGCUCUUUUGUCAGGGAAGAAAAGGCUGUGGCUAAUAUCCACAGCUGCUGACGGUACCUGAAGAAUAAGCACCGGCUAACUACGUGCCAGCAGCCGCGGUAAUACGUAGGGUGCAAGCGUUAAUCGGAAUUACUGGGCGUAAAGCGUGCGCAGGCGGUUUCGUAAGUCUGUCGUGAAAUCCCCGGGCUUAACCUGGGAAUGGCGAUGGAGACUGCGAGGCUAGAGUUUGGCAGAGGGGGGUAGAAUUCCACGUGUAGCAGUGAAAUGCGUAGAGAUGUGGAGGAACACCGAUGGCGAAGGCAGCCCCCUGGGUCAAAACUGACGCUCAUGCACGAAAGCGUGGGGAGCAAACAGGAUUAGAUACCCUGGUAGUCCACGCCCUAAACGAUGUCUACUAGUUGUUGGGUCUUAAUUGACUUAGUAACGCAGCUAACGCGUGAAGUAGACCGCCUGGGGAGUACGGUCGCAAGAUUAAAACUCAAAGGAAUUGACGG